CGCUGGCGGCGUGCUUAACACAUGCAAGUCGAACGAUGAACCACCUUCGGGUGGGGAUUAGUGGCGAACGGGUGAGUAACACGUGGGCAAUCUGCCCUGCACUCUGGGACAAGCCCUGGAAACGGGGUCUAAUACCGGAUACUGAUCCUCGCGGGCAUCUGCGAGGUUCGAAAGCUCCGGCGGUGCAGGAUGAGCCCGCGGCCUAUCAGCUUGUUGGUGAGGUAAUGGCUCACCAAGGCGACGACGGGUAGCCGGCCUGAGAGGGCGACCGGCCACACUGGGACUGAGACACGGCCCAGACUCCUACGGGAGGCAGCAGUGGGGAAUAUUGCACAAUGGGCGAAAGCCUGAUGCAGCGACGCCGCGUGAGGGAUGACGGCCUUCGGGUUGUAAACCUCUUUCAGCAGGGAAGAAGCGAAAGUGACGGUACCUGCAGAAGAAGCGCCGGCUAACUACGUGCCAGCAGCCGCGGUAAUACGUAGGGCGCAAGCGUUGUCCGGAAUUAUUGGGCGUAAAGAGCUCGUAGGCGGCUUGUCACGUCGGUUGUGAAAGCCCGGGGCUUAACCCCGGGUCUGCAGUCGAUACGGGCAGGCUAGAGUUCGGUAGGGGAGAUCGGAAUUCCUGGUGUAGCGGUGAAAUGCGCAGAUAUCAGGAGGAACACCGGU
rnacentral:rRNA from 1 species